rnacentral:lncRNA from 1 species
AUUUCUAAAAAAAACCAAAAAAACCUUUAUAAAAACACUCUCAACCUUCCUGUCCUCAGGCGAUAGGCCGAUCAUCGGACGGUCCUCGGCCGGUCACCGGCCACCGUACCGGCCGCCGAUCCCCGGCGCCGGCACCACCGUAUGCGGUGGUCGAAAAAAUAAAAAAAUUUCUUUUCCAACUUCUCGACCCCUGAGCCCUGAUCUGAGUUUAAAUCCCAC